AAUGGCUUUAAUAGCCACCACUAUUUAAAACAAUAUAUUUCUAUUGAUAGAAUCAAGAUAUGCUUAUUCAUGAAAUAUAAAAGCAACACUCUCUAAGCGUUCUCUCUCUCUCUCUCUCUCUCUCAAAACAUAAAUCCCACUUUUCUACUCUUUCUUAAAAUUUCAAAUCGUCACCUUCAUCAACCCUCAUCGGAGAAGGGCGGCACCGCCGUCCUCAAUGACGGAGAACCUCUACCAAAUAUACAACUCCAUACACGAAACCUAGCCCCUUUUUCUAUCCUCCUUACAAAUCUAAAAAACCUUUUUACCAAAUAAUAUUCCUCUGUUAAUUUUAUCAUAUAGACAUCACAAAUCGCAAAAUCUAAUCAAGUUUGAAUUUUAAAUCUAAGGUCAAUCAACAACGGAUCCAAGACAAACAUUCUCAAAUCGAUGAUGGGAAAAAAAGAAUCAGCAAAUUUACGAACAACAAAGUACAGAACAACAACGAAGCAGAAUAAAAAAGUAGAGUCUCGCUAGAUGUUCGAGAUUCUGACGAGUUUUUCAGUAGUAACAGUAGUACCUCAGGUCUUAGCUCGGUUUACUCAGAGUUUUGAUGAUAAACUCUGAGUCCCCCUUUGGUGUUUUGAGCUUUUGGGUACAGGUUGAGGUGGGAUUUCGGUAGGGUAACGGUAUAUUUCUUCUUCCCCUUUUGCAAAUAUUCGUGGUCUAUUAUAUAGAGAGGAGGCAAGUGGUCCCUCGUUCAUGAGCUGGAAGGAGAGGGGCGUAUCGUUCCGUUAGAGUAAGAUUUCCUUCUGGAUUUUGUGUGGACCAGCGUGACCGUGACCUUUUGUCUGUAGUGUCCUUCGAAGCAUAUGCUUCUUAAGGUUAUUUUUACUACUAAUGAUUCUUUUACCAUUCGGUUUUUCCUUCCUUGCAGUUAUUUUUUUUGAGUCCACUUAUUAUAACUUGCAUUGACUAAGAAUUUUCUAUUAUCACGGUGAACCAACCUUGGAUGAAGGACAUGGAUUCUUAACAAUGCCAAGCCAUGAUUUAUCUCCUACGUAAAUCCAAGCACCCUUGCCGUGAGGCCAUGAUCUCAAACAGGACAGACACUCUUAGUUUGCUGCGAGAGAGAGGAUGACUAGAAGGUGACUUGUACAUUUGGAAAUGACUCCAAUGCAAGAUUAAUGCCAUUGGUAUGCAUCGCUGAAUUGUUGUUGUUGGCGAUGUUGUAUUCGAUGCAGAACUUACUCUUGCUACGACUUAUUGUGAUAUUGCGAAGCGAGUUGUUUGUGAAGCAUUAUCUGUAGAACCAAGGAUGAUGUAUGGUGGAUCUUUUAUUGCAACUAUCAACCAUGUGGGUCUUUAGAUGCCAGCACAACAGCUGCGAGACCAGCAUUGAAGGUUCAUCAACCUCCUCAAUCCGUGUUGGUAACCUGCUACAGCGGAACCACAUGGUGGUUCUGAUGAUUUUUGCUGAGAAGACGCGGUAUGAGCAACUACUAACACACUAGCUGGAUCCAUAGAACUUUGUGAUAUCGAGGUUCUUGUAUUGACUUGUGAAGCACCAUUUCCAGGCUAUUGAUCAGCUCCUUUUGAGAUGCGCUUAGCGACUCAGCACGCACCUGCAGUUGGCGAUGGUUUGGGAGCAACAACAGCAGGUUGUGUUGGUUUAGAUAUUUGACUUUGCAUCCUUUGCGUGAUUUGAUCGCCUUUUGCCUUUCCUUUUCUAACCAGAUUGCAUAGGCUUGUUGUGAAUUUGCGGCGUGGUUUUGUAUAUGUUGUAACAAUGCUUUAUGUACUUUGGUCAUUGUAUUGUGCGUGCCAAUAUGUGAGUUGGUUUCUGGUUGAAUAUGCUGCUCAUGCUGCAGUUUGAUGAUCACCCUUUUGCAGGAUAUGGGAUUUACGGUGUGGAAGGCCAUGGCAUGCUGCAGGUCUAAUGUAUUUGUCUUGGAUGGUGAUGCAGGUUGGACUGUGCUUAUCCGGACAUGGCAUGUUACUUGUUAGAUUUUUUAGAAGUCUAUUUCUUUAAUUUGGCUUGACUGUAAUAUAACUUAGAUCAUAGGAUUGUUUGUAACCGACGACAUGAGGUAUUCUCAUGGAUGAUAUUUGAAACAAAUAUGUUUGUUACCCCAGAACUUUGUUCGGAUAAUGUUAUUUUAAACCGAAAUUCUUGACCAAGCAAUGUUGUAUUCUAAAAUC